GACGAACGCUGGCGGCGUGCUUAACACAUGCAAGUCGAACGGAAAGGCCCUGCUUUUGUGGGGUGCUCGAGUGGCGAACGGGUGAGUAACACGUGAGUAACCUGCCCUUGACUUUGGGAUAACUUCAGGAAACUGGGGCUAAUACCGGAUAGGAGCUCCUGCUGCAUGGUGGGGGUUGGAAAGUUUCGGCGGUUGGGGAUGGACUGGCGGCUUAUCAGCUUGUUGGUGGGGUAGUGGCUUACCAAGGCUUUGACGGGUAGCCGGCCUGGGAGGGUGGCCGGCCACAUUGGGACUGAGAUACGGCGCAGACUCCUACGGGAGGCAGCAGUGGGGAAUAUUGCACAAUGGGCGGAAGUCUGAUGCGGCAGCGCCGCGUGCGGAAUGACGGCCUUCGGGUUGUAAACCGCUGUCGCCUGUGACGAAGCGGGAGUGACGGUAAUGGGUAAAGAAGCACCGGCUAACUACGUG
rnacentral:rRNA from 1 species